rnacentral:lncRNA from 1 species
CUGUGUGACUGUGUCCUCGUCCCCUGAGGUCCCCUCUGUGUCCGUGUCCUUGUCCCCGAGGUCCCCUCUGUGUCCGUGUCCUUGUCCCCGAGGUCCCCUCUGUGUGACCGUGUCCUCUUCCCCGAGGUCCCCUCUGUGUGACCGUGUCCUCUUCCCUGAGGUCCCCUCUGUGUGACCGUGUCCUCUU